UCAUCAUCACCAUCAUCCUGACUAGUCUUUCAGGCUGCUGUGUGCUGGAAGACAUUUAACCCGUCUUCCGGUGGCAUGAAUACGAUAAAAAACCCUCGGAAGAUUUUCCGGGGGUUUUUUGUU
rfam:Xenorhabdus doucetiae str. FRM16 chromosome, complete genome.